GAAAAGGUGGCUGAGCGGUUAAUAGCGACAGACUGUAAAUCUGUUACCUUCUGGUUUCGUAGGUUCGAAUCCUACCCUUUUCA
rnacentral:tRNA from 1 species